CCAAUAACACAUUUCAUUACACAGAGGUCGAACACUUUGUAGAUGCAAAAGAAGAAGGCGGUCGAGAAACAGAAUUUGCUGAUGUCUGGCAUUAAUACCCCAGUGGCUAAAUUGUUACUUUCAAUGAGUGCUACUAUAGUUACAUUGCAGAACACCCAUCUUUAACUCUUUGAAUACUUGUUAAAUAAGGCCUAAACUGGC